rnacentral:misc_RNA from 1 species
GAUCCUUCCUUCCCUCUUAGCAGAAGGUGCAUGUGGGUUCAUUAUAGUACUUGGCCCUUAGGUCCACUAAUUAGCACAUGCACGUAUAGAAAAAGUAACUCCUUAAUUAUGAUGAGCCCACACGGAUGAAUUGUGGGGUUAACAUAGUUUAUGUCAGAAAACAGAAUCUGACAUAUCCAGGUUAAAUUAAUUAAUUUAACCAUAUUAAUUUCAACAAUAUCUAGAGCAAGAGAUAAGAAUGAGAUGCAAUGCAACAGCCCAAUCAUAAUUUGGACUUAUUUGGGAUAUGAAAUUACAUAAUUGCCACUGCCAUGGAUUGUGGACAUUGGAGAAAGGUGUCGGUUUGAAAAAAUAGAGGCGAGGAAGAGAGAGACAACUGGGUCAGACCAGUAGAACGUGAUUUCUGCUAACCUUUUUUGUUUUCUCUCCAAUCUCUAAAGAACAGCCCAUUAUCACUUAUUUCACUCUCUUUGUCCUUUUUCUCACUAUAAAUCUAAAGCUUUCUUGCUUCUCUCCCUCUCCCCAUACGAAAACAUUUCCCAUUUCUCCUCCUUCUGUCUUGUGCUCAUUCCCUUCUGAGAAAUGGCAAUGGGUGUUUCCCUGUUGCUUGCUUUCUUCUUGCUCUUCAAUGGAUCUGUUUUGGCUGCUAAAUACAUGGAAGGUAAUGUUCACAUCUUUCAAGUUAAAUUAAACCUCAUUUGCUUCUAGAUAACCAGUGUUUAGCUUAAAAAUCUGUUCUUUUGAGUUGGGUUUUUGUUCUUUUGUUUUCUUCUUCUCUUUUUGUAAUGCAACAGCUGAUCUGGUUUUUUGUAGUCCUUUUUGCUUAUUUUCUGAUCUUCAAUUCCUUCAGGAUUCCUCAAAAAUGGCAACUUUGAGCAGAAACCAAAACCCAGUGACCUCAACAAGACAGUACUCAAAGGAAAAUACGCAUUACCUGGCUGGGUCACCAAUGGUUUAGUGGAAUACAUCUCUGCUGGUCCACAACCUGGUGGGAUGUAUUUUGCAGUGGCUCAUGGUGUUCAUGCUGUGAGACUAGGCAAUGAGGCUUCGAUCUCUCAAACAAUACCAGUAAAACCAGGCUCUCUAUAUGCCCUCACAUUUGGAGCUUCAAGAACUUGUGCCCAAGAUGAGGUUUUGAGAGUCUCUGUGCCUCCUUUGUCCGGGGACCUGCCUUUGCAGACGCUUUAUAGUAGUAAUGGUGGUGACACUUAUGCUUGGGGAUUUAGGGCUAAAUCUAAUGUUGCUAAUGUGAUAUUUCACAAUCGUGGUGUCCAAGAGGACCCUGCUUGUGGACCACUCAUUGAUGCUGUUGCUAUUAAGGAGCUCUUUCCUCCAAGGCCCACAAGAGAUAAUUUGGUAAAAAAUGCUGGCUUUGAAGAGGGUCCUCAUCGCUUUCUCAACUCUUCCAAUGGUGUUCUCCUUCCUCCAAAACAAGAAGAUCUCACAUCCCCACUUCCUGGUUGGAUCAUUGAAUCACUUAAAGCUGUGAAGUUCAUUGAUUCAAAGCACUUCAAUGUUCCUUUUGGACUUGCUGCAGUUGAGCUUGUUGCAGGGAGGGAAAGUGCCAUUGCGCAGAUCCUCAGAACAAUCCCCAACAAAGUCUAUAAUCUGACAUUCACUGUAGGAGAUGCAAAAAAUGGCUGCCAUGGAUCAAUGAUGGUCGAGGCAUUUGCUGCUAAGAAUACCUUUAAGGUUCCAUUUGAGUCCCAAGGAAAAGGUAGGUUCAAGACUCUGAGCUUCAAGUUCAAAGCCAUUUCAGCCAGGACAAGAAUUACAUUCUAUAGCUCAUUCUACCAUACUAGGAUUGAUGACUUUGGAUCCCUUUGUGGCCCUGUACUUGAUCAAGUUAGGGUUUUCCCUGUUGCUUAGAUAUUGGAAUAUCACAUAUAAUGGAAUUCUAGGACGGUCGUUUUAUCUAAACAUUUUGUAAAUUUGACCGUUAAGGCAUUUGCUUUGCUAUCGCAUCCAUCUAGACCAUGUCUUUUCCUUGACGUAAGAUUUUCCCUUCGUGGUAGAACUAGAACCAGAGUUCUUGGACAAAGUAACAGAGAUGUAUUGGCAAUUUCUCAUGUCAUACAUCAGUUUAUUUUGAAAUAUUGAACUGUGUCCAUAAUAUCUUGGACAAAGUAAAUACAUAAAGAAAUGACAAUUGCCAGAUCUAAUGAUGUUAUUGGCCCCCAACUCAAAACAAGGGGAAAAGAAAAAGAAUAAUAUAUCACCGAGAAAACCUUAUACAAGAUAAAAAGGUGAAUGAUGGAGGCCAGUCUGCUUGGUAUGAAAAAUGUGAACAAUGAAUCUAUUGGCUUCACUGGCUCUCAUCCAAAGUACCCACCAGACACUUCUCCAUUAAAAAUUCCGCGUUCACCCAAGCAUGAUAUUUGUUGAAUAAAGAAGUACAAUCUUUGCCCACAGCCUUCAUCAGCAUAUCAACACCUGAAAACAGGAAUUUCUCAUAUCAAACCACUAAACCUGCACACAUUUUAUGGCAUGAGACAACUGUAACAAUACUGGCAGUAGAAAUUAGAAUAAACAAUGCCUCCAUGAUUAAACUAUGUUUUCCUAGUUCAGUGGCGGCAGGAAACACAUCUUUACUUGCCCAUGCACCAUUAAGCAACCCAUCAAGGACCAGAUACAAAAGCAUACACAUGCAUAUGCAUGACAGAAAUGACCAUUAACCCCCUACACAUAAGAUAUCUGGAAAAAAGUAUCAGCAUAAAACUGUAUUCAUACCUCCAGGAUGAAACUU